rnacentral:rRNA from 1 species
GAUGAACGCUGGCGGCGUGCCUAAUACAUGCAAGUCGAGCGAACGGAUGAGAAGCUUGCUUCUCUGAUGUUAGCGGCGGACGGGUGAGUAACACGUGGAUAACCUACCUAUAAGACUGGGAUAACUUCGGGAAACCGGAGCUAAUACCGGAUAAUAUUUUGAACCGCAUGGUUCAAAAGUGAAAGACGGUCUUGCUGUCACUUAUAGAUGGAUCCGCGCUGCAUUAGCUAGUUGGUAAGGUAACGGCUUACCAAGGCAACGAUGCAUAGCCGACCUGAGAGGGGGACAGGCCAAACGGGAACUGAGACACGGUCCAGACUCCUACGGGAGGCAGCAGGAGGGAAUCUUCCGAAAUGGGCGAAAUCCUGACGGAGCAACGCCGCGUGAGUGAUGAAGGUCUUCGGAUCGUAAAACUCUGUUAUUAGGGAAGAACAUAUGUGUAAGUAACUGUGCACAUCUUGACGGUACCUAAUCAGAAAGCCACGGCUAACUACGUG